GAUGAACGCUGGCGGCGUGCCUAAUACAUGCAAGUCGAGCGAACAGGCGAGGAGCUUGCUCCUCUGACGUUAGCGGCGGACGGGUGAGUAACACGUGGAUAACCUACCUAUAAGACUGGGAUAACUUCGGGAAACCGGAGCUAAUACCGGAUAAUAUAUUGAACCGCAUGGUUCAAUAGUGAAAGACGGUUUUGCUGUCACUUAUAGAUGGAUCCGUGCCGCAUUAGCUAGUUGGUAAGGUAACGGCUUACCAAGGCAACGAUGCGUAGCCGACCUGAGAGGGUGAUCGGCCACACUGGAACUGAGACACGGUCCAGACUCCUACGGGAGGCAGCAGUAGGGAAUCUUCCGCAAUGGGCGAAAGCCUGACGGAGCAACGCCGCGUGAGUGAUGAAGGUCUUCGGAUCGUAAAACUCUGUUAUUAGGGAAGAACAAAUGUGUAAGUAACUAUGCACGUCUUGACGGUACCUAAUCAGAAAGCCGCGGCUAACUACGUG
rnacentral:rRNA from 1 species